AGGUCUGAUUGAGCAAACUCCAGUUGAGAUGGUGGGCAAAGGUCGUACGAUUGCACUUGAAUAAGAUGGAACUUGACUUGUAAUACAACCAUCCAAACCCACAUGGCUUAUUCCCUUUGGAACCUUCAAACCAACAAUGAUAAUCGUGUUGAAUAACUCGACAUAUCUAAUCAACAUUGUACAAGCAUUAUGAAUGGGCUGUUGGAACUGGAGAUGGCAAAUCUGAUAUAUUAGAUUUUCAACAGAACAAGAAGCAAUCGAACUAGCAAAUGAUACCCAGUGAGUUGUAAUUUAUUUCACUAAAAAAACUGGUUUUUUUUCUAUUUUUACAAUUCCGGUCGGCUAUGUUAUUGUAAUAGAUAUGGAUUGGGUUAUGUUGUUUCAUCCAAUGAUUAGAGUGGUGUGAUCGUGUUGCAAAGGUAUACAGACAAGUGAAGACUACAGGUUUUAUGCAAUUGCAGCUGAGUACCAAGAAUACAACAAGAAGGAUAUAACUUUAGUUUUCCAAUUCUCUGUCAUGCGUGAGCAGAAGCGUGAUUGUGGUGGUGGCUACAUGAAGUUCAGUGGUGAUGCGUGUGGAUUAAAAGAAACUGUUGAUGUGACUUCAUUUAAUAGACGUCCGGCUUAGUAUAAAUAUAAAUGUAAUUACCGUCGCAUCCCGCCGCAUCGCGGCGGGUAGUAUAUCUAGUAUAUAUAUAAUAUAUA